UAUCAUUAACUGAAUCCAUAGGUUAAUGAGGCGAACCGGGGGAACUGAAACAUCUAAGUACCCCGAGGAAAAGAAAUCAACCGAGAUUCCCCCAGUAGCGGCGAGCGAACGGGGAGGAGCCCAGAGCCUGAAUCAGCAUGUGUGUUAGUGGAAGCGUCUGGAAAGGCGCGCGAUACAGGGUGACAGCCCCGUACACAAAAGCGCAUGUGCUGUGAGCUCGAUGAGUAGGGCGGGACACGUGGUAUCCUGUCUGAAUAUGGGGGGACCAUCCUCCAAGGCUAAAUACUCCUGACUGACCGAUAGUGAACCAGUACCGUGAGGGAAAGGCGAAAAGAACCCCGGCGAGGGGAGUGAAAAAGAACCUGAAACCGUGUACGUACAAGCAGUGGGAGCCCCACCACCAAAGCAUUUGCUGUACCGCGUUGACGGAGCGAAGCGACGUCAAACCGAUAAAACAGCAGUGUAAAGUGAGCCGCAGGGCGCUUUGCGCGACAGCGCAAAGGCAGGCGGUUUCGCGUAGCGAAAGCGAAUGCUUUGGGGUGGGGUGACUGCGUACCUUUUGUAUAAUGGGUCAGCGACUUAUAUUCUGUAGCAAGGUUAACCGAAUAGGGGAGCCGGAGGGAAACC
rnacentral:rRNA from 1 species